rnacentral:rRNA from 1 species
UUUAUUUUAAGAGUUUGAUCCUGGCUCAGGAUGAACGCUGGCGGCGUGCCUAACACAUGCAAGUCGAGCGAGGUUGUUUUAAAGCUUACUUUAAAACAACUUAGCGGCGGACGGGUGAGUAACGCGUGGGCAACCUGCCCUAUACAGAGGGAUAGCCUCGGGAAACC